rnacentral:rRNA from 1 species
AUUCCCCCAGAUAACGGCGAGCGAAGCGGGAACAGCUCGAGCAUGAAAUCUCUGCAGCUAUGCCGGCGAAUUGUGGCCGAGAGUGGCAGCUUGGUUCUGGUUCCGAUGCCGAAGUUUGCCUGGAAAGGCACGUCAGAGAGGGCGAGAACCCCGUGCGUGGCAGAGGAUACCAGGACCGCCAACUGCACACGGAGAGUCGGGUUGUUUGGGAAUGCAGCCCAAAGUUGGUGGUAAACUCCAUCUAAAGCUAAAUACUGGCACGAGACCGAUAGCAAACAAGUACCGUGAGGGAAAGGUGAAAAGUACUUUGAAAAGAGAGUCAAAGAGAACGCGAAACCGUUAGGAGGGAAACGAGGUCCGAGGAGGACCUCUCCCUCUCUUCUGGCUGAAGGAUCAUACUGUUGACCCCCUGACUCAGGUCGCGCAUGCUGGACAGUGUUGGGUGCUGCGUCUGCGGUUGCAAAACGUGGCCAUCCGUCCCGUCUUGAAACACGGACCAAGGAGUGCAACACGCCGCGAGUCUUUGGGUGGCAAACGGCGAAAUGAAAGUGAAGGUAACCUGUGCCGAGGGAGAGCAGGCGAGCGCGCUCCACGACGGUAGCCGCUGUUGCGACCCGAAAGAUGGUGAACUAUGCCUGAAGGUGAAGCCAGAGGAAACUCUGGUGGAACUCGUAACGAUUCUGACGUGCAAAUCGAUCGUCAAAUUUGGGUAUAGGGGCGAAA